UUGCAGGUUUGGGUCCGGGUCUUAGAAAUUGGUUUCUCGCAGGACUCUAGGCCCUACCACAUAGGCAGUGUAUUGGACAAACCACCUAAACAAAUCUGAGCAUGUAUGACCCAGUGCAGAUAGUGGGAAAAGCAACUAUUUGGUUCUAUGGCAUCACAUUUAAAUUUUCAAUAACCUUUUUUUUUGUUUUUCCCAGUAGUUACAACUUUUGAGUAACAUUUGUUACUUUUAUUACUUUAUAGGUUUAUUGCCUAAUUAUGCCAAAAAUCCACAGUUCUGUGUGCUGUGUAAUACCCUGUGGCUUCAGCUACACUCAGAUUACUUGUUAUAUUGUACCACAGGAACAAACACACUAUCUGCGAUGUAGUCAUCUCAUCUUUAUUGGAAUCAAGUAAUAAGCAUGUUCUCUGGAAGCAGGUGAAUCAUCCCUGUUGCUGGGAAAGGUUGGCAAGGGUUCAGUUUGAUAUGCUCAGGAAAUGGAAAAAUGUAACACAGAUACAGGACUUUUUCCAAAUGAAAUCCAACUUCAAUGGAAAAAAAUAUAUCAUUUAAAAAAAAAAAAGAGAUGUUGCUCCGUUGUUUAAUCACAUAUCAUUAAUGUCCUAAUCUAAAAGUACUUUUGGCAUGACAUAGACAGGGUUGUCCAGCUGGAGGCCCAUGGCUCAUUAAGAGGGUAUGUUUAGCCACCAGCAUGCCCAAGAUCUUUCUGAGCAGAAACUAAUUUAUAACUGUAAAUCAAGAAGGUCAACCAAUUACAAAUUAUCUUAGAAUAUCAUUAACUUCCUCUUUUAUUUUUCUCCAUUUACAGGUACUAUUGCAAGCAAAGUCCCCUCAUUGUGAUUACUGCUGGACACCAAUCAGGCAAAAAUGGCAGUUUCAUUUCACUAACUGAACAUUUGUAUUGCUAAACAACAGACUUGUCAGUCAAGUACAAGAGAAGGUUACUAGUAUUAAACACACUGAGUGCUGACAUCACCAACAUACUAACAUGUGUCUCAGGAAGGUGCUGAGUACAGUAUGUGGAAUGGGUCACUCUGGCGUCUCAGGUUUGUGAUUCACUAAGGUUACCAUUCACUUUGUUUAUGAUCACAAUGAACUUUGGACUUUGAAGCUUCAUGGACUUGGAUCGCACUUUAAAUGUUUUAAUAUGAUCACCUGUGUAGUGAUGUCACUUAUUAGGAAGGGAAGGGAAGGGGAGGAGACUCUACCCACACCCCCUCCUCACACUUUAAAAGGUUGAUUACAUGAUUGUUACACCAGGCUUGACAAAGGGCCCGAGUGGUCCGAAACGUUGCCCUUGUCUGUAUGUAUUUGGGUG